GUCCCUAUCGUCUAGAGGCCUAGGACCCUUUCACNCUAGGACAUCGCCCUUUCACGGCGGUAACCGGGGUUCGAAUCCCCGUAGGGACGCCA
rnacentral:tRNA from 1 species